CAAAGGGUAGUUUAUUUAAAAUAAUAGUUUUGGGAAUUAUUGAUAAGUUUUUUACUUUCCUUUGA
rnacentral:tRNA from 1 species